rnacentral:rRNA from 1 species
AGUGAACGCUGGCGGCGUGCCUAACACAUGCAAGUCGAGCGAAGCGGCAGCUGUAGCAAUACAGUAUGUGCUUAGCGGCAGACGGGUGAUUAACACGUAGGCAACCUUCCUCUUAGUGGGGGAUAGCCCGCCGAAAGGCGGGGUAAUACCGCGUACGAUUCGUCGAAGGCAUCUUUGACGAAUGAAACAUCCGCAAGGAUGACUGAGAGACGGGCCUGCGGCCUAUCAGCUAGUUGGUGAGGUAACGGCUCACCAAGGCUGCGACGGGUAGCCGACCUGAAAGGGCGAUCGGCCACACUGACACUGAGACACGGGUCAGACUCCUACGGGAGGCUG